rnacentral:rRNA from 1 species
UACGAAGGGGCUAGCGUUGUUCGGAAUUACUGGGCGUAAAGCGCACGUAGGCGGACUAUUAAGUCAGGGGUGAAAUCCCGGGGCUCAACCCCGGAACUGCCUUUGAUACUGGUAGUCUCGAGUCCGGAAGAGGUGAGUGGAAUUCCGAGUGUAGAGGUGAAAUUCGUAGAUAUUCGGAGGAACACCAGUGGCGAAGGCGGCUCACUGGUCCGGUACUGACGCUGAGGUGCGAAAGCGUGGGGAGCAAACAGG